rnacentral:rRNA from 1 species
GACGAACGCUGGCGGCGUGCUUAACACAUGCAAGUCGAACGCUGAAGCCUAGCUUUUGUUGGGUGGAUGAGUGGCGAACGGGUGAGUAACACGUGAGUAACCUGCCCCCUUCUUUGGGAUAACGCCCGGAAACGGGUGCUAAUACUGGAUAUUCACUGAUCUUCGCAUGGGGGUUGGUGGAAAGGUUUUUUCUGGUGGGGGAUGGGCUCGCGGCCUAUCAGCUUGUUGGUGGGGUGAUGGCCUACCAAGGCUUUGACGGGUAGCCGGCCUGAGAGGGUGACCGGUCACAUUGGGACUGAGAUACGGCCCAGACUCCUACGGGAGGCAGCAGUGGGGAAUAUUGCACAAUGGGCGAAAGCCUGAUGCAGCGACGCCGCGUGAGGGAUGGAGGCCUUCGGGUUGUAAACCUCUUUCGCUCAUGGUCAAGCCGCAACAUUGGUUGUGGUGAGGGUAGUGGGUAAAGAAGCGCCGGCUAACUACGUGCCAGCAGCCGCGGUAAUACGUAGGGCGCGAGCGUUGUCCGGAAUUAUUGGGCGUAAAGGGCUUGUAGGCGGUUGGUCGCGUCUGCCGUGAAAUCCUCUGGCUUAACUGGGGGCGUGCGGUGGGUACGGGCUGACUUGAGUGCGGUAGGGGAGACUGGAACUCCUGGUGUAGCGGUGGAAUGCGCAGAUAUCAGGAAGAACACCCGUGGCGAAGGCGGGUCUCUGGGCCGUUACUGACGCUGAGGAGCGAAAGCGUGGGGAGCGAACAGG